GAUGAACGCUGGCGGCGUGCCUAAUACAUGCAAGUCGAGCGAACAGAUGAGGAGCUUGCUCCUCUGACGUUAGCGGCGGACGGGUGAGUAACACGUGGAUAACCUACCUAUAAGACUGGGAUAACUUCGGGAAACCGGAGCUAAUACCGGAUAAUAUAUUGAACCGCAUGGUUCAAUAGUGAAAGACGGUUUUGCUGUCACUUAUAGAUGGAUCCGCGCCGCAUUAGCUAGUUGGUAAGGUAACGGCUUACCACGGCAACGAUGCGUAUCCGACCUGAGAGGGUGAUAGGCCACACUGGAACUGAGACGCGGUCCAGACUCCUACGGGAGGCAGCAGUAGGGAAUCGUCCGCAAUGGGCGAAAGCCUGACGGAGCAGCGCCGCGUGAGUGAUGACGGUCUUCGGAUCGUAAAACUCUGUUAUUAGUGAAGAACAAAUGUGUAAGGAACUGUGCACGGCUUGACGGUACCUAAUCAGAAAGCCACGGCUAACUACGUG
rnacentral:rRNA from 1 species